GUAAUUUUCACGUAAAGAAUAAAGCGAUCGAUUCCGCUUCCUUCAUUGGCCACCGUUCCGGCGACGAGGGUUUCUUUUCAUCUAUGGCAGGGGCUUGAGAUCAACGACGGGAGCGAAAACAGCAGCACCCGCCAAAGGACAAGGCUCCAUGGAACAACUCCUGAGCAUGGGCUUCUCCGAGGAUCUCGCCUCCGAAGCCCUCGCUGCUACCGGUGGCCACUCCCCGCUCGCUGCCGCCGACUGGAUCCUCACCCGCUCCUCCUCCUCUUCCUCCGUUCCUCCUCCCCCUCUCCCUCCCUCACAAUCCCCCUCCACCCAACCCUGCCUCGAGCGCUUCUUUGCCUCCUCCUCUUCAAUCCCUAAAACCCUCAAUCCUUCCUCCUCCUCGGCCCCUAAAACCCCCAACCCCUCCACCUCCACCUCCUCCUCCUCCCCCUCCUCCCUCCCCAUAAAGCGCCGCCAUCCCUCCGCCGCCGCCCCUCUAUCGGACCGGAUGCGCCCGGGCACCCUCGACUCCAUCGUCGGCCAGGACCACCUCCUCGGCCCUUCGUCCCUACUACGCUCUUCCUUCCUCCCCUCCCUCGUCCUCUGGGGCCCGCCCGGCUCCGGCAAGACCACUCUCGCCCGUGCUCUCGCCGCCUCUCUCCCGGGCUCCCUCUACACAUUCGUCCCCCUCUCCGCUGUCUCCGCCGGCGUCCGCGACCUCCGCGACGCCAUCGACGGCGCCCGCCGCGCCCGCUCCCACGGUCGACGCACCGUCCUCUUCGUCGACGAGAUUCACCGAUUCUCCAAAUCUCAGCAGGACUCCUUCCUCCCCGCCAUCGAGGACGGCUCCAUCAUCCUUGUCGGCGCCACCACCGAGAACCCCUCCUUCCAGCUCACUACUCCGCUCCUCUCCCGCUGCCGCGUCCUCUCUCUUCAGCCUCUCAAGCCGCAGCAUAUCGAGGCUUUACUCCGCCGAGCCCUCUCGGACGCCGAGAAAGGCCUACAGGUCACUACUGAAGCUCCGGUGUCUGUCAACCAAGAAGCCAUCGACUUCCUAUCCCUCCAUUGCGAUGGCGACGCCCGUGUUGCCCUUAACGCAUUAGAGAUUGCGGCGACGCUAGCGGCCAGUCGGAAACUACAUGACAACAAGGGGAAUUUGGCAGUCACCCUCGACCAAGCGAAGGAGGCGAUGCAAUGCAAACACCUGGCGUAUGACCGGGCUGGCGAUGAGCACUACAACCUGAUCAGUGCCCUUCACAAAUCAAUGCGGGGGAGUGAUGCAGAUGCAGCCAUUUACUGGUUGGCGAGAAUGCUAGAGGGAGGGGAGCAACCACUUUACAUCGCCCGCCGGCUUGUCCGAUUCGCUAGUGAGGAUGUGGGACUCGCCGACCCUUCUGCACUGAGUCAUGCUGUAGCUUGCUAUCAGUCGUGCCAUUUUCUUGGGAUGCCUGAAUGUGAUGUCUGUCUAGCUCAGUGCGUCACUUAUUUGGCUCUGGCACCUAAGUCAGUUGCAGUGUACCGGGCGCUAGGGGAGGCGAAGAGGGUGGUGAAAGAGUCAAGUGGUGGGAAUGAGGGGGUGCCAUUGCAUUUGAGGAACGCUCCAACAAAGCUGAUGAUGGAUAUGGGAUAUGGCAAAGAUUACAUGUAUCCUCCUGAUCAUAAAGAUUGCUCAUCGCAGACUUAUUUGCCCCCAUCGCUCCUGGGGCACAAGUUUCUUGAUUGGCCACCACAAGAUGAAUAGUAGCAUGGAGGCUGGGCAACUAACUAUCAAGGGACAUGUGCCAUAGCAUGCCACAAUGAUUCAGAGAGCUGGCAGCAGAACAGGUUCUGCAUCCAAACCUUGUGUUACAAGAGGCAUAAUGAAAAGCAAAAUAACUAGGUUUUGCGUUUUCUGAAAUAGUGAACUGCAGGUGUUUUCUAUGUUGUACCUUUUCUUUUACCAUUGAUUAGUUUUUUUAUGUGCAUUUGAAAUUCUGUCAAGCUUGGGCAUAAAUUGUCAUUUACAUGACGGUCCUGGUCUCGGACCGGUGCUCUUAUCAACAAUCUUGGAUUGAUCCAUUCCCUCUGUGCAGGUCCUUCCCCUACAACAAUGGGUUUCCCAUAGAGGUGUUUAUAAAUGGAAAUUUUGUUGACAUGCUAAAAUGUGUUUAGCAUGAUUUUGAUUUCCAUGGAUGUUAAUUUGGUGGAUGACCACUUAGAUGUGGACUCAUGAUCUUAUUCAUCACAGCAUUUUUAUCUACUAAAGGACCAUAUACUGAUGACACUGCUUUCCGUUUUCUGGUCGGACUUUUUUGAUGGAAGACCAUUCUGAGUUAGUCAUACAUAAACGGUAUAUUCUAUGGUUGGUUUGUGUCAUUUUCGUCACUAACUUAUCUGCAGCAUGCUAUUCAUUUGAUUGAUGCUAAAAGAGCAUACACUACUGCUGGUGGUCCAAGUAACGUGAGACUUAUGAGUUGCAUUCAUAAACCAAGCAAGAUUUUGCAGAUGGUAUUGGAUGAUUCCUUUGGAGAACAGUAAUCAAAGGAAUGCUUACAGAAAAAAGGAAGGACAAUGGUCAGGGCUCUCUUGUCUGCAAUCAAGUCAGCCUUCGGUGGCCUUCAGGAACCUCAUACAAUGGUUAGGACUAUUACCAAUUCCAUCUAGCUCUCUGUUCACUAGUAUUUUUUUAACAUGGUUUCAGUUUCAAUACAUUAUUAUUACCUGUUGUGAUUCAUCAAAAUUCCAGGAGAAAUUUCCAAGAUGGUGGUCUUAAUAAUCAUCAUCUUCACUGCCU